rnacentral:lncRNA from 1 species
CCCCCCCCCCCCCCCCCCCCCCCCCCCCCCCCCCCCCCCCCCCCCCCCCCCCCCCCCCCCCCCCCCCCCCCCCCCCCCCCCCCCCCCCCCCCCCCCUUUUUUUUUUUUUUUUGUUUUUUUUUUUUUUUUUUUUUUUUUGUUUUUUUUUUUUUGUUGUUUUUUCCACAGGGAUUCUCCUGGAGAUUCCCAGCUCCCCCUCCUGGCUCUGCCCAAGGGACGCUGGAGGUGACAAUUCCAGGGGUUUGGGAGCCUUUGGAAGGUCGGGCACAGGGAGAGGGGGAAGUGCUUCGUGUGUCUGAUCCCCUCAUCCCGGAAUUCCCGGGGAGAUGGAGGGAGCCAGCUCUGGAUCCAACUCUGGGAAUCCCUGGAGAGCCAGAGGGAUCCACCUCUGGGAAUUCCGGAAGAAUCAGAGGGAUCCAACUCUGAGAAUUUCCAGAGAGCCAGAGGGAUCCAACACUGGAUCCAACACUGGGAAUCCCCAGAGGGAUCCAGCUCUGGGAAUUCCAGAAGAGCCAGAGGGAUCCAGCUCUGGGAAUUCCAGGAGAAUCAGAGGGAUCCAGCUCUGGGAAUUCCCUGAGGGAUCCAGCUCUGGGAAUUCCCUGAGGGAUCCAGCUCUGGGAAUUCCUGGAAAACCAGAGGGAUCCAGCUCUAGAUCCAACACUGGGAAUCCCCAGAGGGAUCCAGCUCUGAGAAUUCCUAGAGGAAUCCAACACUGGGAAUUCCAGGAGAGCUGGAGGGAUCCAACUCUGGGAAUUCCUGGAGGGAUCCAACACUGGGAAUUCCUGGAGACCCAGAUCGGGAAUCCCCAGAGGGAUCCAGCUCUGAGAAUUCCUAGAGGAAUCCAACACUGGGAAUUCCAGGAGAGCUGGAGGGAUCCAACUCUGGGAAUUCCUGGAGGGAUCCAACACUGGGAAUUCCUGGAGACCCAGAUGGAUCCAACUCUGGGAAUUCCUGGAGGGAUCCAGCUCUUGGAAUUCCCAAAGGAUCCAACACUGGGAAUUCCCAGAGAACCAAAGAUAUCUAACACUGGAUCCAGCUCUGGGAAUUUCCAGACAACCAGCGAGAUCCAGCUCUGGGAAUCCCCAGAGAGAUCCAGCUCCCAAAAUUCCUGCAGAGCUGGAGGAAUCCAACACUGGAUCCAGCUCUAGGAAUUUCUGGAGAGCCAGAGAGAUCCAGCUCUGGGAAUUUCUGGAGGGAUCCAACACUGGGAACUCCAGGAGAACUGGAAGGAUCCAACAUUGGGAAUUCCCAGAGAGCUCAAGGGAUCCGACACUGGAUCCAACACUGGGAAUUCCAGGAGAGCCAGAGGGAUCCAACACUGGAUCCAACACUGGGAAUUCCCAGAGAGCUGAAGGGAUCCAACACUGGAUCCACCACUGGGAAUUCCCAGAGAACCAGAGGGAUCCAACACUGGGAAUUUCUGGAGG